rnacentral:lncRNA from 1 species
GAGUCGCUAGGCGCUUUCGGGGGCGCUGUGCCGGUGAGGCUUAGGCAAGGGGACGGGGAACCGUGGUUAGAUGCAGCAGCGGCGGCAGCAGCCCUCCCAGGUCCCACUUCUUUGGCGUUCCUGCUGCCUGUGACUCAAGACAAUUGACUUCCACCUGAACCCUCAGCUCCGAACGCCUUGCAUUAGAAGCUAGAGCUUUGGAGGUUCUGAGGACGGUCCCUGGGGAGCAAGUGAGACUGAGGCGCUGAAUGAUAGAGGGAAUAAACAUUUGCCCUGGAUAAAAAUGUUCUUGGCUGUUGUCCAGCUCUAAUGAUGUCCUAGAGCAGAAGUGUUUCUUCUGAUGUCUCAUUUUAACAAGAGGAUGAUGUCUGUGUAUGUCUCUGUGUUUUAGAGAGGCUGGCAAAUGCUGCUAAGAGGAUCUGAGGUUCACAUAAAGAGGAUGAAAAUUCUGAAUUACUUUCAUUGCAAAUAAACCUUAACAAUUGUGAGAGUUAGAGAGCAUACUUUUCACAUAAGACUUUGGUAUGCUGCCUAAAGCUACUUACAUAAUUUGCUAUUCAGAGAAAUGCAUUUGUUUAUUGAGGACCCACCCGGACUUAAAUUGGAAAAAUGUAACAUUCAGAUUUUUAUUUUAUAUGUGAAAUAAAUGUGUGAUUGCUGUUCUUAAAAAUUUGAAAAAAAAAGGAUAACAAGAAUAUUAAUUUUGUGACCCAUAGUUCAUGAACUUUAAAAGUGUUUACAGCAUUUAAAGUUUAUUUAACAAUUUAAGUAUUUGAGCACUAUACUAAUUCAUAUGGUUACAUUUGAUCAACUCCUUCAUGAAGCCAUAGGCUUUAUAUCUCCUAGCUGCCUUUUACCUUCAGAACAAAUCUGGUUUAUACUUAGAUUGCUCCAAAAGUUAUGCAUUUUAAUUUUAUGUUGAAAAUGUCUUUCUUAGAUAAUCACGGUGCAUAUUUGCAGCUAAUACUUUAGUAUAUUUUAUAUUAUUGGUAAUGCUUUUGUUAGCCAUCCUGGUGCUGCCUUCUUAUAAGAGCUAUGUAUGAGAACCAACUAAUAUAUUUCUUUUUUUUUUUUUUCUUUUUCUUACCUAUUAACCCACUAAAAUUUCUAAUCUAAAAGCAAUAUUCAAGUUACAUUUUAUUACAGAAAUUGGAAAGCAAUUUGCCUGGGAAGCAAAAUGUUGAUAUGAUUCAGGUGAUUUUAACAUUAAAUCUAACUUGUAACAAAAACGGAUUAUAUAAAGAUAAAUAAAUUGAGACUAUUAUUUGCAUAGCAAAGAAAGUCAAACAUGACCCACACAUUUAUGCACAUAUAAUUAAUUUCAAUAAAAUGUUUAUAUUUAAAAAAAAAAAAAAA